rnacentral:misc_RNA from 1 species
GAUGAAGAACGUAGUGAAAUGCGAUAAGUAAUGUGAAUUGCAGAAUUACCUGAAUCAUCGAAUCUUUGAACGCACAUUGCGCCCCCUGGUAUUCCUGGGGGCAUGCCUGUUCGAGCGUCAUUAACAACCAAUCGGGCGGGGCUUUUGCAUGCUCCCGCUCGGCCAUGGGGGAUGGACGUCGUCGGACGCCCACCCCCGAAAUGCAACGGCGGACGGCCACCCGUGGCACUGCGGCGUAGUAAGUUAACCCUUCGCGCGCGCCCACGGAGUGGACUGCCCGGCCGCUUGAACCCCCACACAUCCUACGGUUGACCUCGGAUCAGGUAGGGAUACCCGCUGAACUUAAGCAUAUCAAUAAGCGGAGGA